rnacentral:tRNA from 2 species
GUCCCCUUCGUCUAGUGGUUUAGGACACUGCCCUUUCACGGCGGCAACACGGGUUCGAAUCCCGUAGGGGACGCCA